CACUAGAGUCGGGUGCUACGUGUCUGUGUCCACUCUGUUUAUAUCUGUAUGCGUAUCCGUCAAUGUCUGGAAGGACAUCAAAGACGCAGCGGCUGUGUUGCAUAUGCACAUGUACACACUUCUUCUGAUCAGUUACAUUACUUUUCUCGCAGGAAUAGAUCAAACUGACAAUGUGGCUGUGUGUAAGAUGGUGGCCAUCACCUUACAUUUUACCCUUACCUCAAGCAUGUUCUUCAUGUUGGCUGAAGGACUCCAGCUUUACAAAACUGUAGUGAUGGUGUUCUUUGUUCGUUCAAUUCUGAAAUACCUAAUUAUGUUU